GAUGAACGCUGGCGGCGUGCCUAAUACAUGCAAGUCGAGCGAACAGAUGAGGAGCUUGCUCCUCUGACGUUAGCGGCGGACGGGUGAGUAACACGUGGAUAACCUACCUAUAAGACUGGGAUAACUUCGGGAAACCGGAGCUAAUACCGGAUAAUAUAUUGAACCGCAUGGUUCAAUAGUGAAAGACGGUUUUGCUGUCACUUAUAGAUGGAUCCGCGCCGCAUUAGCUAGUUGGUAAGGUAACGGCUUACCAAGGCCACGAUGCGUAGCCGACCUGAGAGGGUGAUCGGCCACACUGGAACUUGAACACGGUCCAGACUCCUACGGGAGGCAGCAGUAGGGAAUCUUCCGCAAUGGGCGAAAGCCUGACGGAGCAACGCCGCGUGAGUGAUGAAGGUCUUCGGAUCGUAAAACUCUGUUAUUAGGGAAGAACAAAUGUGUAAGUAACUAUGCACGUCUUGACGGUACCUAAUCAGAAAGCCACGGCUAACUACGUG
rnacentral:rRNA from 1 species